AGUGAACGCUGGCGGUAGGCCUAACACAUGCAAGUCGAACGGCAGCACAGUAAGAGCUUGCUCUUACGGGUGGCGAGUGGCGGACGGGUGAGGAAUUCAUCGGAAUCUACUUUUUCGUGGGGGAUAACGUAGGGAAACUUACGCUAAUACCGCAUACGACCUACGGGUGAAAGCAGGGGAUCUUCGGACCUUGCGCGAUUGAAUGAGCCGAUGUCGGAUUAGCUAGUUGGCGGGGUAAAGGCCCACCAAGGCGACGAUCCGUAGCUGGUCUGAGAGAUGAUCAGCCACACUGGAACUGAGACACGGUCCAGACUCCUACGGGAGGCAGCAGUGGGGAAUAUUGGACAAUGGGCGCAAGCCUGAUCCAGCCAUACCGCGUGGGUGAAGAAGGCCUUCGGGUUGUAAAGCCCUUUUGUUGGGAAAGAAAAGCAGCAGGUUAAUACCCCGCUGUUCUGACGGUACCCAAAGAAUAAGCACCGGCUAACUUCGUG
rnacentral:rRNA from 1 species